CGGCCGUUAGAUUGCCUCCCCCGCCCGCUACGAUCGCUCCGGUCCAAUCGGAUCCCCCCUACCCCCACAGGGGUAGCAUUGCGCUGCUCUCCGCCCUCCGUUGGACAGUACUGGCGCGUCCCUAAGGGUUCCGGUCGCCCAGCGGCCGCCAGGGGCGGCGACAAGGAGGCCUUCGCGAAGAAGCCGCGGCGCUGGCACGCCGAGAUGCCCCUCGCUGACGCGGACGACGACUUCUUCCUCUUCCCCGUCGAGGAGAUCGUCCAGUACCCGCUGCCGGGCUACGUCGCCCCCUCCUCCAUCAGCUUCAGCCUCGAUGGGCGCCUGAGCUCGUACUACUUCAGCCCUGAUGGCACCCUCCACCGAAAAGUCUUCGCCUUUGACGUCGCUUCGCGGUGGGAGGAGCUGGUCUUCAGCCCGCCCGACGGAGGGGGCCUUGAUGAGAGCAAUCUCUCGGAGGAGGAGAAGCUGAGGAGGGAGAGGGCAUUGGGUGUCACGCGUUACGAGUGGAGAGCGAGGUCUCCGUCUUGUUCUUGCUUCCCUCCUGGGAAGCCCCUCAUCAUGGUGCCCUUGCCCGCAGGGUGAUGAUGUCGUCUCUGUCAACUGGUCUAUUUCCAGGAAGUACGUGGUUCGGAGCCGGAGCUUAAGCUGCCGUCCUGUCCUGGUUCGCCAAUCAGCGACCCGCAUCUGUCUCCAGACGGAAGCAUGCUUGCGUAUGUCAAAGAUGAUGAGCUUCAUGUCUUGAGUUUGUCACAGGGGAAGCCUAAGCAGCUAACUUUUGGUGCAAGAACAAGUGGAAAGACUCAUGGCCUUGCUGCAUACAUUGUGCAGGAAGAGAUGGAUAGGAAGACUGGAUUCUGGUGGUCUCCUGAUGUCUAAUAUCUGGCAUUCGCUGAAGUUGAUUCAGCUGAGAUACGUCUUUUCAGAAUUAUGCAUAAGAGAAAAGGUUUAGUUGGCUCAGAUGCACAAGAAGACCAUGCAUACCCAUCUGCUGGAGCAGCUAAUGUGAAAGUUCGACUUGGUGUUGUUCCUGUCACUGGAGGAGAAGUUACUUGGAUGGACCUUCUUGUGGAGCAGACGAUGAAGUCAGUGGGGAUGCAGAGUAUCUAGCUAGAGACAAUUGGAUGCCUGAUAAUUCUCUUACAACUCAGUUCUUGAUAGAUACCAUUCCAAAUUGAAGAUUCUUAACUUUGAUAUUCAGAAUGGACAGAAGGAAGUCUUGUACUUAGAAGCGCAGGUGAUAUGGAUAAAUUUGCAUGAUUGCUUCACACCUCUAGACAAAGGAGUGAAUAGUUUGUCUGGUGGUUUCAUUUGGGCAUGAAAAGACUGGUUUUGGACAUCUCUACCUUCAUGACAAGAGUGGAGUUUACUUAUGAGUUAGGACCUCUUACCCAGGGUAAUUGGAUGGUUGAGCAAAUUUAUGGUGUAAAUGAAAAUGCAGGUCUGCUCCACCUCACUGUUACCGUGGACGGGCCUUUAGAAUCUAACUUAUACUGUACGAAGCUUUUUCCAGAUUGGAACCUUACCUUGCAACCACCAAAGAGGUUGACUUAUGGAAGGGGAAGGCAUGCAAGAACUUUUGAUCAUCAUAUGCAGACAUUUGUUGAUGUCCAUGAUUCUCUGAACUCUCUACCUGGAGUAUUGCUUUGUUCUUUACAUGAUGGAAGUAUAAUAACACCUCUAUAUGAGCAGCCUCUUACCAUUCCACGGUUUGGAAAGUUGCCUAAAGAAAAUCCUGACUCCUACGAGUAUGGGUCGACCACGCACCAUGUGCACAAAAUCAGAGGGAAGCUGCUGCUUGUUCAUGGAAUGAUUGGUGAGAAUUGUGCACUUCCGGCACACAGCAAGACUUGUCAACUCGCUCAUUGCAGCUGGCAAGUCAAAUGAGCUUCUGCUUUUUCCAGAUGAAAGGCACAUGCCUCGUUGACAUGGAGAUGUCUAUAUGGAGGAAAGAAUUUUGAAAUUUAUAGAGAGAAACUUAUGAAUGGAGCUGUAUUUUUCCCUCAUCCGUCGUUGAUCAAAUGCUCGCUUUAGUUUUGUCUCCAGAACAGUCGGGUGGCACGUCACAAACCUUUUCAGUUUUUCUCUAAUAAAAGGAGAACUGGGAUCAUUUGUAGGGUACAAGUCCUUUGGACAAUUAUGUGAGGUUUGAGCCAGUCUUUUGUCGUUCUUUUAGUUCAUGCACAAAAUGUUUGUGGUCGAGGUUUGGUUUCCAGAGGAAAUACAAGACAA